GACGAACGCUGGCGGCACGCCUAAUACAUGCAAGUCGAGCGCGUGAAGCUUUCUGAAGCCUUCGGGCGGACGAGAGCGGAUCGAGCGGCGGACGGGUGAGUAACACGUAGGCAACCUGCCUGUAAGACCGGGAUAACUCCGGGAAACCGGGGCUAAUACCGGAUAAGAUCUUUCUCCGCAUGGAGGGAGAUUGAAAGGAUGGCCGCAAGGCGAUCGCUUACAGAUGGGCCUGCGGCGCAUUAGCUGGUUGGUGAGGUAACGGCUCACCAAGGCGACGAUGCGUAGCCGGCCUGAGAGGGUGACCGGCCACACUGGGACUGAGACACGGCCCAG
rnacentral:rRNA from 1 species